rnacentral:rRNA from 1 species
UGGGGAAUAUUGCACAAUGGGCGCAAGCCUGAUGCAGCGACGCCGCGUGAGGGACGACGGCCUUCGGGUUGUAAACCUCUUUCAGUGCCGACGAAGCGCAAGUGACGGUAGGCACAGAAGAAGGACCGGCCAACUACGUGCCAGCAGCCGCGGUAAUACGUAGGGUCCGAGCGUUGUCCGGAAUUACUGGGCGUAAAGAGCUCGUAGGUGGUUUGUCGCGUUGUUCGUGAAAACUCACAGCUCAACUGUGGGCGUGCGGGCGAUACGGGCAGACUGGAGUACUGCAGGGGAGACUGGAAUUCCUGGUGUAGCGGUGGAAUGCGCAGAUAUCAGGAGGAACACCGGUGGCGAAGGCGGGUCUCUGGGCAGUAACUGACGCUGAGGAGCGAAAGCGUGGGGAGCGAACA